rnacentral:rRNA from 1 species
GAAUGCUGACAUAAGUAACGAUAAAGCGGGUGAAAAGCCCGCUCGCCGGAAGACCAAGGGUUCCUGUCCAACGUUAAUCGGGGCAGGGUGAGUCGACCCCUAAGGCGAGGCCGAAAGGCGUAGUCGAUGGGAAACAGGUUAAUAUUCCUGUACUUGGUGUUACUGCGAAGGGGGGACGGAGAAGGCUAUGUUAGCCGGGCGACGGUUGUCCCGGUUUAAGCAUGUAGGCUGGUUAUCCAGGCAAAUCCGGAUAAUCAAGGCUGAGGUGUGAUGACGAGGCACUACGGUGCUGAAGUAACAAAUGCCCUGCUUCCAGGAAAAGCCUCUAAGCAUCAGGUAACAUUGAAUCGUACCCCAAACCGACACAGGUGGUCAGGUAGAGAAUACCAAGGCGCUUGAGAGAACUCGGGUGAAGGAACUAGGCAAAAUGGUGCCGUAACUUCGGGAGAAGGCACGCUGGUGUGUAGGUGAAGUCCCUGCGGAUGGAGCUGAGACCAGUCGAAGAUACCAGCUGGCUGCAACUGUUUAUUAAAAACACAGCACUGUGCAAACACGAAAGUGGACGUAUACGGUGUGACGCCUGCCCGGUGCCGGAAGGUUAAUUGAUGGGGUUAUCCGUAAGGAGAAGCUCUUGAUCGAAGCCCCGGUAAACGGCGGCCGUAACUAUAACGGUCCUAAGGUAGCGAAAUUCCUUGUCGGGUAAGUUCCGACCUGCACGAAUGGCGUAAUGAUGGCCAGGCUGUCUCCACCCGAGACUCAGUGAAAUUGAACUCGCUGUGAAGAUGCAGUGUACCCGCGGCAAGACGGAAAGACCCCGUGAACCUUUACUAUAGCUUGACACUGAACAUUGAGCCUUGAUGUGUAGGAUAGGUGGGAGGCUUUGAAGCGUGGACGCCAGUCUGCGUGGAGCCAACCUUGAAAUACCACCCUUUAAUGUUUGAUGUUCUAACGUUGGCCCCUGACCGGGGUUGCGGACAGUGUCUGGUGGGUAGUUUGACUGGGGCGGUCUCCUCCCAAAGCGUAACGGAGGAGCACGAAGGUUAGCUAAUCCUGGUCGGACAUCAGGAGGUUAGUGCAAUGGCAUAAGCUAGCUUGACUGCGAGCGUGACGGCGCGAGCAGGUGCGAAAGCAGGUCAUAGUGAUCCGGUGGUUCUGAAUGGAAGGGCCAUCGCUCAACGGAUAAAAGGUACUCCGGGGAUAACAGGCUGAUACCGCCCAAGAGUUCAUAUCGACGGCGGUGUUUGGCACCUCGAUGUCGGCUCAUCACAUCCUGGGGCUGAAGUAGGUCCCAAGGGUAUGGCUGUUCGCCAUUUAAAGUGGUACGCGAGCUGGGUUUAGAACGUCGUGAGACAGUUCGGUCCCUAUCUGCCGUGGGCGCUGGAGAAUUGAGGGGGGCUGCUCCUAGUACGAGAGGACCGGAGUGGACGCAUCACUGGUGUUCGGGUUGUCAUGCCAAUGGCACUGCCCGGUAGCUAAAUGCGGAAGAGAUAAGUGCUGAAAGCAUCUAAGCACGAAACUUGCCCCGAGAUGAGUUCUCCCUGAGACUUUAAGUCUCCUGAAGGAACGUUGAAGACGACGACGUUGAUAGGCCGGGUGUGUAAGCGCAGCGAUGCGUUGAGCUAACCGGUACUAAUGAACCGUGAGGCUUAACCUU